AGGGAAUUUUCGGCAAUGGGGGGAGCCCUGACCGAGCAACGCCGCGUGAACGAAGAAGUUAUUCGUAAUGUAAAGUUCUUUUAUCAGGGAAGAAAGAGGAAUUUGACGGUACCUGAGGAAUAAGCUCCGGCUAACUAC
rnacentral:rRNA from 1 species